rnacentral:rRNA from 1 species
GACGAACGCUGGCGGCGUGCUUAACACAUGCAAGUCGAACGAUGAAGCCGGAGCUUGCUCUGGUGAAUUAGUGGCGAACGGGUGAGUAACACGUGAGUAACCUGCCCUUGACUCUGGGAUAACUGCUAGAAAUGGUAGCUAAUACCGGAUACGACCCUCGGAGGCAUCUUCAGGGGGUGGAAAGCAUUUCGGUCAAGGAUGGACUCGCGGCCGAUCCGCUAGUUGGUGGGGUAAUGGCUCACCAAGGCGACGACGGGUAGCCGGCCUGAGAGGGUGACCGGCCACACUGGGACUGAGACACGGCCCAGACUCCUACGGGAGGCAGCAGUGGGGAAUAUUGCACAAUGGGCGCAAGCCUGAUGCAGCAACGCCGCGUGAGGGAUGACGGCCUUCGGGUUGUAAACCUCUUUUAGUAGGGAAGAAGCGAAAGUGACGGUACCUGCAGAAAAAGCACCGGCUAACUACGUGCCAGCCGCCGCAGUAA